rnacentral:rRNA from 1 species
CACGUAGGAGGCGAGCGUUGUCCGGAAUCAUUGGGCGUAAAGGGCUCGUAGGCGGUUUGUCGCGUCGGGAGUGAAAACUCAGGGCUCAACCCUGAGCGUGCUUCCGAUACGGGCAGACUAGAGGUAUGCAGGGGAGAACGGAAUUCCUGGUGUAGCGGUGGAAUGCGCAGAUAUCAGGAGGAACACCGGUGGCGAAGGCGGUUCUCUGGGCAUUACCUGACGCUGAGGAGCGAAAGCAUGGGGAGCGAACAGG